UUUGAACUGUGGACCUCUGAGUUAAUGCUGAAAUGAGGGGCAGAGAGAUGGCUUUUUCAGGAUGGCAGCAAGGAACAUUUCAUGGAGCACACAUUGGAUUUGAGCUUGCCCUUGAGGAUCUGGACGACAGAAAAAGGCUUCCUUAUGAUGGAAACCUGGUCUGGGUUGCUCACCACUGAACCUCCUCACACCUGGAGCCGUGCCUAGCACAAGGAGCUUACGUAUCCUCAGAAGAGAAGAAACAGAGACGAUUGCUGUCUUCAUUUUAGAGACAAAGAACCCGAGGCGUAGAGAGCCAGGAAAUGGAGGUAAUGACUUCUGCCCUGGAGGACUACAUGGCAUCUUCUAUGUUGAAACCACUUUCAAAGUUUUCAAAACUAUACACCCAUCAUGUAUCACUAAUAUAGCUCGAUAUACUACGGAUCACAGUCCUGACUUCAACUGUUAGUGUAAUGUCUCAUCAACACUGAGAACACGUUAUGUGGUGUUUUACUGUCAUGAACGAAACCUAUUUCCCCAGAAAAACUGGCAGAUAUUAGCAUUAAUCUGAUUUUUCAAAGAAGUUAAUUAUUUCCCAGAAUAAGUCACUGUGACUUAUCAAAGGGCCUUGGUUGGUGGGAAGUAAAGCCCAGACUGCAUUCUUGAAGCUGCUAGCCUUUGCCAGCUCAUUGCAAAUUGAGCAACACUGAUGAACCCACAGUUAAUCUAUGGAGUCAAAUGCAACUGGACACAAAUGCCUGGGGAUUUUCCCUGUGAGAUUCUCUUGCCCUUCUGGUGAUGGUGAAGGACAGCACUACCCAUGGCAGGGGCGGUCACUAGUCUCUGGCAUUUACUUGACCUUAUGGCUGCCAUGAACACCAGGCACAGCCUUUGCAGGAGGCACUGCUGCCUUCAGCCUGCCUGGCCUGGGGGCGCAGAGAGGAAAGGGAUAUGGGCUUUUGCAAAAGGCCCCUAGAGCAAAGUCAGACUGAUGGCAAAGGCUUGAGUGCUCGAUGGGCGAGGGAGAUGCUUUCGCUUCAAUUUUCACUGAGUAAUGAGGCGUACUGAGCAAAAUACACUUGUCCUUGGAAUGUGAGGCACACACGUGGCAGGCAUAAAGUUAUAAAAAGGAGGAGCUCCUUAGUCUGCUGAACUUAAAGACUUAUCUUGCCUUCCUGCUGUUAAUUCUUUACAGAGACUUCCUCUUCUCCAUUUCCCAGGGUUCUCCAUGGGGAUGUGCUUGAGGGAGAAUGAGCAGUUUAAGAGAAAAGAAUUCCUCCAGAGUGGGUUGUGGAGAGCACUGGAGAAGGUCUGGGCUGGAGCUAGAGAUUUACCUUGGCUAAAGAUAAGAGUCUGUGGUGUAUAUACACAAUGGAAUACCAUUCAGCCUUGAAAAAGAAGGAAAUAUGUCAUCAGU
rnacentral:lncRNA from 1 species